UACAGAGGGGGCAAGCGUUAUUCGGAAUUAUUGGGCGUAAAGGGCGCGUAGGCGGCUUGGCAAGUGGAAGGUGAAAUCCCUCGGCUUAUCCGAGGAACUGCCCUCCAAACUGCUUCGCUUGAGACCGGGAGAGGUGAGUGGAAUUCCCAGUGUAGCGGUGAAAUGCGUAGAUAUUGGGAGGAACACCAGUGGCGAAGGCGGCUCACUGGACCGGUACUGACGCUGAGGUGCGAAAGCGUGGGGAGCAAACAGG
rnacentral:rRNA from 1 species